AUUGAACGCUGGCGGCAGGCUUAACACAUGCAAGUCGAACGAGUGGCGGACGGGUGAGUAAUGCUUGGGAAACUGCCUGAUGGAGGGGGAUAACUACGGGAAACGGUAGCUAAUACCGCAUACCAUCAGAUGUGCCCAGGUGGGAUUAGCUAGUUGGUGAGGUAACGGCUCACCAAGGCGACGAUCCCUAGCUGGUCUGAGAGGAUGACCAGCCACACUUGAACUGAGACACGGUCCAGACUCCUACGGGAGGCAGCAGUGGGGAAUAUUGCACAAUGGGCGCAAGCCUGAUGCAGCCAUGCCGCGUGUAUGAAGAAGGCCUUCGGGUUGUAAAGUACUUUCGGUGGAGAGGCGUUACCCACAGAAGAAGCACCGGCUAACUCCGUGCCAGCAGCCGCGGUAAUUC
rnacentral:rRNA from 1 species